GGAGUUUGGGCCGUGUCUCAGUCCCAAUGUGGCCGUCCGACCUCUCAGUCCGGCUACAGAUCGUCGCCUUGGUGAGCCGUUACCUCACCAACUAGCUAAUCUGACGCGGGCCCAUCUCAUACCACCGGAGUUUUUCACACUGUGUCAUGCGACACCGUGCGCUUAUGCGGUAUUAACAGUCGUUUCCAACUGUUAUCCCCCAGUAUGAGGCAGGUUGCCCACGCGUUACUCACCCGUCCGCCACUAACUUUACUCAAGCUUUGACCGAAGUCUCUGCAGCGAGUAAAAUCCGUUCGACUUGCAUGUGUUAGGCACGCCGCCAGCGUUCAUC
rnacentral:rRNA from 1 species